AACUUCAUUUGGAAGAAAACUGAAAAUAACAAUCGAAAUAUUCAGAUACAAGUAUCCACUAUUCAACAAGAGUAUCAUUGUAACCAUUUAUUAAAUGAAACCAAUUAUCUUAACAAAGAAAAGCCUAAAUGAUCUUAUCUUUUCUAUUUAGGAUAAUUCUUUUCAGCUGAAAAGAACGAGAUGAAACUGAGCAGUUAAAACAAAGAACUUAUCGACAAGCUAUAUUAGCAGAAGCUUUAAAAGAAGACGGGCUUUUAUGAAAUAAAACAUUGGACCAAACUAGGGUCCUGAUGCGUCUCCUAAGCAACUUGCAAGGCUAGACAAGACGUCACUUUCUGGUUGCCGGAGUCUCAUCUGAUAAUUACUCUCGGGAUGACCAAAGCUUGUUUACUUUACCAGAAUUGUGUUGAAAUUAUAAAUUUUUGAAGAAGCAAGAUGAGAGUUAUCAAGUCUGGAGAUUUUAGACGAACUUAUCCGCAUGCCUCGUGAAAGCUGGGCUUAUGCACGAUGGCACGGUCUUUAGAUACAGUUGGAUCUUUUCAAACACAGCUGAGAAGACUUUUUUCUGGACAUCAUCGAUUUCUUGCUAUUCCGGUUCUUUGCCACAACAUAAGAAGUGAAGAAUGUCAUAAACAACCUGGUGCUGACAGAUGUGCAAUCUUAUGGCAUUUUUAGUGUAGUGUCGAAUUUGCGUGUCAAUUGCUCCAGCUAUGGAUUAGGGGUCCAAUUUUGAAGGUACCGACACAAACGAACAAGUGUCAUAUGCUAAAUUUACAAUAUAAAUGGAAUUACACAAGGGCCUCAUCUAUCAAAUAGCUUAGUGUCUCGUCCAAAUGUGAUAUUGGACAUUAUACCAAAAAUGAAAUAGGAGCCAGCAAUAUGAAUCAAUUAUACAAAUGAAUAUAUAACCUAUCCAAAGUUGAGCUGUUAUAUGUUCCUUGUGGUCAACAAUCUUUUUAUGGUAAUUUCUAAGCAAAUUUAGGCUUUUGAAAUAUUAAUUGACCCUAUUUGAAUGCUCCAUUUUCUGAGUUUCUUGCAAUAUUAACUUUUUAAAUUUCCCUAGUGCGCUACAAUAUUUAUGU